GAUGAACGCUGGCGACGUGCCUAAUACAUGCAAGUAGAACGCUGAAGCUUGGUGCUUGCACCGAGCGGAUGAGUUGCGAACGGGUGAGUAACGCGUAGGUAACCUGCCUCUUAGCGGGGGAUAACUAUUGGAAACGAUAGCUAAUACCGCAUAAAAGUCGAUAUCGCAUGAUAUUGAUUUGAAAGGUGCAAUUGCAUCACUAAGAGAUGGACCUGCGUUGUAUUAGCUAGUUGGUGAGGUAACGGCUCACCAAGGCGACGAUACAUAGCCGACCUGAGAGGGUGAUCGGCCACACUGGGACUGAGACACGGCCCAGACUCCUACGGGAGGCAGCAGUAGGGAAUCUUCGGCAAUGGGGGCAACCCUGACCGAGCAACGCCGCGUGAGUGAAGAAGGUUUUCGGAUCGUAAAGCUCUGUUGUAAGAGAAGAACGAGCGUGAGAGUGGAAAGUUCACACUGUGACGGUAACUUACCAGAAAGGGACGGCUAACUACGUG
rnacentral:rRNA from 1 species